rnacentral:rRNA from 1 species
UCUACGGGAGGCAGCAGUGGGGAAUAUUGGACAAUGGGCGAAAGCCUGAUCCAGCCAUGCCGCGUGUGUGAAGAAGGCCUUCGGGUUGUAAAGCACUUUCAGUGGGGAAGAAAGCCUUGGGGCUAAUACCCUCGAGGAAGGACAUCACCCACAGAAAAAGCACCGGCUAACUCCGUGCCAGCAGCCGCGGUAAUACGGAGGGUGCGAGCGUUAAUCGGAAUUACUGGGCGUAAAGCGCGCGUAGGCGGUCUGAUAAGCCGGUUGUGAAAGCCCCGGGCUCAACCUGGGAACGGCAUCCGGAACUGUCAGGCUAGAGUGCAGGAGAGGAAGGUAGAAUUCCCGGUGUAGCGGUGAAAUGCGUAGAGAUCGGGAGGAAUACCAGUGGCGAAGGCGGCCUUCUGGACUGACACUGACGCUGAGGUGCGAAAGCGUGGGUAGCAAACAGGAUUAGAUACCCCAGUAGUC